CUGUGGUUGUUUUCACCAUAGCAAUUAGUGCAUGUAACCCAAAAUUUCUACCGUGCUAAACAAAAUAAUGCUGAUAAACAGCAAUCUUCCCCCUCUUCUCCUUCCUUCCUCCAGGAAUGUCUUUUAAAAAUGAUGUUUUUAGAAUUACUUCAGUUUGAAGAGUUGAGUUAACCACCAUCACCUUGCUCUCAUAGCAGCUUUGCUCCUCCUGAAUUGCAGCCAUUACCUGCAAUGGUACCCACUGUGGGCUCUGGGUCAGUGCUCACACCUCGGCUCAGGUACAGUGCUGUCAUCUGUUCGUUUUGCCUUUUGUGUUCUUUGAAGGGGAAAAGCCAACCACAAGUAGCUCUGCAGAAGUAUUAUUUAGCUUCUAAUGAAGAGUGUUUGGUGUUCUUGCAGGCAAAUGAUGGUAACUCAGUGUUCCAGAUGCGGCAUCCAUCAUGUGAGAAAGACGCAGAUGUCUCUUGGACAGGUUUCCUCCUUGGGUCACGGUAUGCUGAGCUGAGAGCUGCACCUGGCCUUGUCUCCAUUCCUCUUUGGGCAAAGAAAGUUGUCAGAAUUUUUUCCUGGGAAGGAGCUCCCAAAGAUCGCCAAGACUUCGGGUGUUGUAAUGAAAAUCUAUUGGUGAAGUUGGGGGUACACGUGGAUGGCUGCAGACACCCAAGGUCAGGCUGGAGGGGCUGUGGGUGUCCCUGCUCAGAGCAGGGAGUUGGACCAGAUGGCCUUUAGGGUCCCUUCCACCUCCAACGGUGGAAGAGACUGAUUCUAAGCUGCUGUAACAAGAUGUGCUUUUAUUUCUUUGUGCCCAGCUGUGAAGUUGCUAUUGUCUGUUUUGCCUCUCCCUCAUUUUUCUUCGAGUCCCAGGCCUCCUGCUUUUGGCUUUAACCCACACUGGAACUCAUGCUCAGGAGUUGUCAAGAGCUGACAAAUACCUACAAGAUGUGUCGUUCCCUCUUGGCUGUGCAGGGAUGCUGCAACCCCAGAACAACACAGAGAUGGAACGUCCUCAGAAACGAGCAGCGGAAUGGGAUGGUGCUGUGUUGUGUGUAAACCAAAGCUACUGAAGAUUUGCAUCAGGGUCCUGUUUGCUGACUGGAGGCUGGAACAGCCCUUUGGUGACUUUUUGGAGAGGAAGAUUUGGGAUGCGUCAUUCAACCCACGCUACAAGGCAGUGAAAAUGAAUCAUGCAUGUCGCUGAUGACUUUGGAGAAGUGCUUUGGAGCCUUCAUUCAAACAGAGCCAUCGGAAAGGGGAAUGCUGAGGCCAUGUUAAGGAUUCCAGCUGUCAGUACCCCUGCACAGUGCAGGGGAGUCGGAUUAGAUGGCCUUUAAGGAUCCCUUCCAACUCAAAUGAUUCAGCCAUGAGAACUACACAUCCUCCUGAGAAAAUUCAGCUCAUACACAGACACAAAGAGCUUGGCAGUGCUCUCAGAUGUCCCUCGCUGCACAGAGAGCUGCAAACCAACCACAGCUUGUGGAAUUUACAUUUACUGAUGAUUCUUGGACAUCACAGAAUCACAGAAUGGCCUGGGUUGAAAAGGACCACAAUGACCAUUGAGUUUCAACCCCCUGCUAUGUGCAGAGUCGCCAACCAGCAGACCAGGCUGCCCAGAGCCACAUCCAGCCUGGCCUUGAAUGCCUCCAGGGAUGGGACAUCCACAGCCUCCUUGGGCAACCUGUUCAGUGCGUCACCACCCUCUGGGUGAAAAACUUGACAGGUCCCUUCCAAUUGGGUAUAUUCCAUAUGUUACAGCAUUUCUCUGCUUAACAGCACGGAGAAGAGCAGAACGCACCGUUCUCACAGCGAGAGCCACUGUCGCCUCGAUUUUCAUGCAAUAGAUGCUGAAUUCUGAUAGAAGUGAGGCAGUCCCUCUGCUCUGCGAUCAAGCAGGGAUGCUGACACCCAGUGGCCAUGGAGAUGGUAGCGGCUGUACGAGCUGGGCACGCUCAGCAGCAAUGCCUCGGGGCAGUGGGAUGCAGCCUCUGCCUUUUCAUUUCCUCUGUGCAAGUGGAGUGAGGAGCAACUUUCAGCCUUAUUGGCAGGCUAUAGCGUUUGCAUUCAGAAAAAUGAAAACGUAUGAGGACGGAAAACGAGCAAACAGAAGGUAGAUUGGUUUUCAAGUUGUUCUUUUGUUGGCAUUUGGAAAACAGACCUCAGUGAGAGGAGGGUGAUGCUGUGUGCCCUGAUACUGCUGUGACCUCAAUAGCCACCUUCCCCGCUUUGUUCCUUCCCAAAAGCUGUUGUUAGAAUAUGACAGAUGCAAAUGGAUCCUGCAUUUCCCUGCAGCACAUGCAGGGUUGUGCUUUCACAUGUUUGACAAGUAUUGACAUCCACUGGGGAAAAUAUUCCGUAGGAAGGGUUGCUUUUCAUUCCCUAACAAACGGUGCUAAGACUUUAUCAGUCAAAGACAGAAAGAAGACCCUAAACUCGAAGGUAUGUAAAGGAGCUCUCGGUGUGUGUUUGGCAAAGACGUGCUUGGCCAAGCACAGGGGAACCCAGACACAGGAGGGAACAGGAAGAGCAGAGUGUGCCAGAGGAGGGAUUUUGAAACAGCCUUGCUGUAAAUGUUGAUUAUGGACUAUAUCAAAUGAAGGACUGGGAAGGACUGAGCCCGGUGUCCCCCAUCGAAACGCUCCCAUCGAGCAACAGCAUACAGGUACUGUAAGAGAAUGCACUCAAUUUAUCCCUCUGUUACCAGGCAGGUUUCUAGGCAGGCUUCCAUCUAACUUUUAUAUUUUGUAGUGACAGAAAUAGCUCUGAUCUUUUUGGGGGUGAGUUUUAGCCAGGGAAUACAACUUCCGUUCCUUCUCCAUCUCUGCCUCUGCCUGUUCUCAUUUGUUUCUCUCCCGUUCUAGCAGAGUUUUUGGUCUGCAAAAGACUCUUGGCUCUGCUGAGGUCUCUGCUGUGCCUGCUGCCACCAGCCACAGUGAUGGAGCAGCCUCCGGAGCAAACAAAGAGGGAGAGCAUGCAGGAUGGGAUGCAGUAGCAGCAAGAGGUUCCAGGGGAGCACGAGCUGCAGGCCCACGUGUGGAUGGCCGAAUGCUCGUGCAUGGCAUUCCCGUGGAGUAAAGCAGAAACAGCUUGCUCCAGUCAGUUUACAGCUCCUCCCGUGUUUUCCUGGGCCCGUUGAGGAUUGCAUUGUGACUGCCAGCCUCACACAGAGCAGGGAAGACCCACACUGGCCUAGAAAGCUCCGGGCUUCUUGGCUGUCCUUGGAAUGAUGUGAGAGCAGCCCAUCAAACACAGCAGCCAUGGGUGCAGUUAGCAUCCCACCAAAGUGUGCGAUGGUUUUCCUGCUGGGGAUCUGCAAUGGGAACAGAAGGUCACUGCCAGCAUCAAGGUGCACGAUGGCAUCCCCAUCACACACUGCCACAUCACGGUGCCAAUGCAGGAAGCAUUUGCUUGCUACAGGUUUAUCACUAGCAUCUACACUUCGGGGCACAAUAUUGGCAUUAUUUCUGCUGCUUUACAUGUGAGUAACUUUGCUGCAUUCAAUAGGAGCAUUCUGUAUAUUUACACGACCAGGAUUUGAGUCCUUGCUGCUUUUAUGGCUUGUUGUGAGGCAGAAAUGGUCACACUUGUAAAAUUGCUUCCUGAAAAUAAACUGUUGUUUAGUGUCUGAUCUUAGCUCAUCUGUUGAUAUGUGUUCAUCUCUUAGUAUCUAGUGUACUGUUUUAUUUACAGCCAUAAGCUGAGAACUCCCCUGUAAGAGCUCAUUGCACGGACAGGCUGCCAUAGCACUUACUUUUUCUUGCAUUGGCCAAUCAACGUAAAUAUUAAGAGGCUACUUGACAACCCCAGGAUGACUGGAAUGAGGAUAAAUAGCUGCUUGACUUCUUUUCUGGAUACUGCAAAGAGAAAUCACAACAAAUAAGAAAUUCCUAUCUUGCAGAACAGGUUGCGUUGCUUCUUAAAACUUCAGGCUCCAUGCAUUCAAGCGAUGUCUUACUCUAAACAUACUGAUUUUUUCACUACAGACAAAAACUGAUGGCUGUUGGUUCCCUACCAGAGAAGCACUCCUGCGUCCAUUCGCUCCAGAAGCCCUCAUCAGCACAGAAGUUGUUUGUUCUCCCUCUGACACGGACACAAGAAACACGGCUCCGAUUUGCUCUGGAGAUGGUGAAAGCGGUCUCCACUUGGGUGGACACAGACUGAGAAAGAAAACGGAGGGCAGUGAGGGGUUCUGA